rnacentral:sRNA from 1 species
CUCUUAAACCAAAUGCCAUUUAAAUGACCACAGACUAAAUACAAAGUAGGUAAAUGCUUACAGGGAAAGGGGAAAGUGGAUCAAGGUAGAAAAAAGACAAUUUGUUUUAAACACUCUUAAUACAACUUGUUCUCUCUCCCCUUAAACAUGUUUAAAACAACGUGAAGCACAGAUGCUUGUCUGAAAGAAAAAGAAAUCAUUUGCACAGCCCCUGUUUUCCAGCUUGGUGCCCUUUGAUGGGUGGUGAGUGGUAGCGAUGUGGCCCAGUGAGACGGCACAGUCACUCUUCCUGCAGGUCAGAAUCUUCCUAGGCUGUUGCUCUUCCAAGGUACCCUGAGUCCUGAGAUGGUGGCCUGGGGUUUUGUUUCCUAAGAAGUAGUUGCCAUUAUUUUGAUUCAUCCUACUGUUCUAACCAAAACAAAAACCAAAAAACUCCAAAUGGUAACAGAUAUUCAUAUACCUGGACAUCCAAGUCAGUGAGUGUCACGUGGCUUCCAGAUUUGCAUCUGUGCUGCAGUAGUCUUUCUUCCUGGCAGGUGUACUUUUGCAUGUGAUGGGAGAUGCCCUGGGGUCCGUGGUUGUGGUCAUCACGGCCAUCAUAUUCUAUGUGCUUCCCCUGAAGAGUGAGGACCCGUGUAACUGGCAGUGUUACAUUGACCCCAGCCUGACUGUCCUCAUGGUCAUCAUCAUUUUGUCAUCUGCCUUCCCGCUUAUCAAGGAGACCGCUGCCAUUCUGCUACAGAUGGUCCCAAAAGGAGUCAACAUGGAAGAGCUGAUGAGUAAACUCUCUGCUGUGCCUGGAAUUAGCAGUGUACAUGAAGUGCACAUCUGGGAACUUGUAAGUGGAAAGAUUAUUGCCACCCUGCACAUCAAGUAUCCUAAGGACAGGGGAUAUCAAGAUGCCAGCACAAAAAUUCGAGAAAUCUUCCACCGUGCGGGAAUCCACAAUGUGACCAUCCAGUUUGAAAAUGUGGACUUGAAGGAAUCCCUGGAGCAGAAGGACUUACUGUUGCUCUGCAACUCACCCUGCAUCUCCAAGGGCUGUGCUAAGCAGCUGUGUUGUCCCCCCGGGGCACUGCCUCUGGCCCACGUCAAUGGCUGUGCUGAGCACAAUGGUGGGCCCUCUCUAGACACAUACGGAAGUGAUGGCCUCAGUAGAAGAGACGCAAGAGAAGUGGCUAUUGAAGUGUCUUUGGAUGGCUGUCUGAGUGACCACGGACAAAGUCUUAACAAAACUCAGGAGGACCAAUGUUAUGUCAACAGCACGCAUUUUUAAUCUGGUACUCACAUAAUCAGACCAUAUAGACGAGGCACUUUGGAACCACAAGCUUGGCUCACAAAAAGAGCUUUCUGGGUUGUAGGCCCAGACUAGACUUGCAGCGUGCAUGCUCUGUGUUCACUAGGGGUUGGCUGUUUGGGAUUUUAGUUAAACGUGUCUGUGAAUUUUUAUGUAACUAACUCCUUUCCAUUCCCCUGGGUGUCUCAUGCUGCUCUUUGACUGUUUCAGCUUGAACAUGCAUUUUCUAAAGCAAACUGCACUAGUGUAUAUAUCAGGGACAUUAAAGUCUGGGACUGGGGCUCAAUAGCUGCGGAUACAGUGUUCAAAGAAGUUCUUGUUUCUAAACUGAUUAGAACUUCUAGCUAAUGCUCAGGUGAGAUCAUAGCUUAAAUACAUUGAAAAAACUAAAGUACCACAAUAGCUGUAUUUUUCCCAAUCCCCUUAACGAUCAUAAAAGAGGCAAGUUAAGUAUUUCUGGCACUGAAGAAAUAUCUUUUUUCUUUGAUACAUUUUUGAAUAAAUAUAAAAUGAAUAACUAUUAAGGUAGAAAAUAUUCUCAGAACAUUCUAGAGGAGGUAAAGGUUAGUAGGAGGGCGUUGGCCAUCUCUACAUUUUGUGAGGUGAGAGAAAACUAAUGUUUACUUUCUGCUGUGAACUGAACUGCAGCUAUAGAAUGUUUCAAAUGCUUAAAUAUAUAAUACAUUUUUUUCCAUGGAAGUGAGGGAAUAUUUCAGCUUCCUUAAGUAUGACACAAAUACUCAUAUACUGUCUUUUAGAGUCAGUAUAGUUGGAGCUGUUUUCAUUUAGUGCUUUGAUAAUGAUUUACUUAUUUUUCCAAAUUUCCUUUGACUUUUCUUUCAUACGAUUGCAUUGAUCUAUGCAGCAUUUACCAGAAAAGAGUAUUCCUGGGAUAGCAGAAUGCAUAACACUGAGUGUUAAUUCUUGCGAAAUAAAUAAGCUAGACUGCCUUCUCUUUAAUUAGAUAUUUUUAAAGUAUUUAUUAUAGUUGUCAACUAGUAACUCAAUGAAAAAGUUGAUGCCCAAGGGAGAAAUGAGAAUUAGCUUAAUUGCUGCCUUUAAUGUGUUUUUGAGGAACUUAAAAUUUUCUUUCAUGUCUCUGAUCCAUAUUACCAAGUUCAAAUAAAAUUUUUAUAAUCGGAUUCAGACCCAUAACCAAACUA